AUUGAACGCUGGCGGCAGGCUUAACACAUGCAAGUCGAGCGGAGUGAUGGUGCUUGCACUAUCACUUAGCGGCGGACGGGUGAGUAAUGCUUAGGAAUCUGCCUAUUAGUGGGGGACAACAUCUCGAAAGGGAUGCUAAUACCGCAUACGUCCUACGGGAAAAAGCAGGGGAUCACUGGUGACCUUGCGCUAAUAGAUGAGCCUAAGUCGGAUUAGCUAGUUGGUGGGGUAAAGGCCUACCAAGGCGACGAUCUGUAGCGGGUCUGAGAGGAUGAUCCGCCACACUGGGACUGAGACACGGCCCAGACUCCUACGGGAGGCAGCAGUGGGGAAUAUUGGACAAUGGGGGGAACCCUGAUCCAGCCAUGCCGCGUGUGUGAAGAAGGCCUUAUGGUUGUAAAGCACUUUAAGCGAGGAGGAGGCUCUUUUGGUUAAUACCCAAGAUGAGUGGACGUUACUCGCAGAAUAAGCACCGGCUAACUUUGUGCCAGCAGCCGCGGUAA
rnacentral:rRNA from 1 species